CUGCCUUGAUUCAUUUCUUUCAUUGUUAACCGUUAUGCCAACACGGAUUAUGAUAACUCUUUGGAGGCUUUUUAUUACCAGGAAGUUCGAAAGACCUUCUUCAGCAGAGUUAUCUGAUUUUGGCUGUUUUUUAAUAAUGGCAUGCGGAGUUGCUCUCUUAGAAUGGACAGAUAUCAGCUUAAUUUAUCACAUGAUUCGUGGUCAAGG
rnacentral:misc_RNA from 1 species